ensembl:lincRNA E330017L17Rik RIKEN cDNA E330017L17 gene
GAAGUUCCUGAGACAAUGAGAGGGGAUGCUGGCUGUCUCUUUCUCUUUAUCUUCUCGCAGUAAAGCUCCAGUUCUCCUUGAGGUAAAGUGGAGCCUCUGAUUGACGCGAGGACGCGGGGAAAAUGAAAGCCAUAUUAUUAUUAUUUCAAGUUGUGUUCUUGCGGCGUUCCCGGAUGUCUGUGGUGACCCUCGUUUGUGUGAAGUCAACAAAACUGACCAGCACACCAUCUGAAUGCUACAGCGGGAUGGAGAUGGGAGGCGAAGCCUUGGAAGCUGGAGGGUGAAUAGCUGGUGUGCACAACCCCCUAGCAACGGGCAAACAAGGAGGAGUGUGGAAUGGGAGUCAGUGCUUAAUGGGCACUAAGUUUCCAUUUGGUUGUAGAGACGAUGGUGCUGAUGGCUAUAAGGCGUCUUGAAAGUGCUGAAUGCCACCAAACUGCACAAUUGAAACAGUUAAGAUGGUGAAUGUUGUGUGUGUUUUCCUGCCGCUGAAUACUGUAUUUUUUUUUUUCUGGUUCCAUGUGAGACUUUAAGGACAUGGAGGUGAGGAAGACAUGCAAGGACCUGUCUGCAUGGAGUUUACAGUUGUGGAAGAGAUGAGCAGGAAGCUGGAUGGAGAAUAUUUGCCAUUCAUCAGUGCUCCACAGAUUGUUAAGAUUUCUUCCUGGGGCUGGAGAGGCAAUACUAUUCCAGAGGACCCGAGUUUGAUUUCCAGCACCAACAUGGCAGCUCACUAUAGUCUGUAACUGCACUCCUGGUCCGAUCUGCAGGCACUGUGUGUGCACAUAAGGAAUGUGGACGUACCUGAAGGCAGAACACUCAUCACACGUGAAAUUAAAAAAUUAAUAUUGUUUAAAA